CACCAAGAAAUUAAGCUGUAUUAAAUAUAGUAAAAAGACAGUUAUGCUAAUUAGAAAGGUCAGCUAAUAACAAUAGUAUAGGGGUGAAAUCCGAACAUAUGUUUAGUCACAAAAAUGGCCUAGAAGAGCUGAAGCUGUGAAAUUCUAUAGGAAAACUGGGAUUGGAUACCCCACUAUUCAUGAAUAUAAAUUGAUAAAUAUCUACUAGGGUACUACGAACCCACAAAAUUUAAAACUCGAAGGACUUGGCGGUGUCUUAGACCACUUAGGGGAACCUGUCUCUUAAUCGACAAUCCGCGUUAAACCUAACCUUCUUUUGUAUAGCUUGUAUACCGUCGUCGUCAGGUAACUUUUUAAAGAAUAUAAGUUAGCGGCUAAGCGUAAAUAUAAGCUAGUACGUCAGAUCAAGGUGCAGCUAAUGAGAGGGUGAGGAUGGGUUACAAUUAUUUACUUAUAACACGAAUGGUUUAUCAAAUGAUAGAUCCGAAGGAGGACUUAAAAGUAAAAGCGUUAUUAUAUAAACUACUUGAAUAAGGCUCUGAGACGUGC
rnacentral:rRNA from 1 species